UUUGUUUUAGUGCAAGUAAAGUGAUGAAAUUUAAAUUUUACUAUUUUCGUUAUUUAUUUUAGUAAAAGUGAAAAAUAUAAUAUAACUUAAGUUACGUUAGAGCUUCACUUCACUUACUCUCGACUUUCUUCUCUAAAAUGCUGAACUCGACUUCCAUUACAAUCAACCUCUUCUAAAAAAUUAAUUAAACAGUAAAACAUAAACUCUACUUUCUUUAUAAUGGAUUAGAAUUACUUUAUUUAUAAUAAAUUAGGAUUAUCUUUAAAUAAUAAUAAAAAAUUUAAUUAUAUAAUAGGUUAAAUUUUAUAGUGGUAAAUUUACUAUUAUAUUUAGCAGAUAAUAGGAUCCACUUACAUCAAAAUAAAUAACGGAACUCAAAAGACUAAUUUUACCAGCACCAAGUUACAUCAAAACAAACAGAAGAAGUAAUUAAAUUUAACUUUCAGACUGUACGAAUUACGUCAAAAUAAAUAAUAAAAAAAUAAUUACACUUCAGAAAAAUUUAAAUACUACUACACUUGACUUACGUUGAAUAUAGGGAUUCGUCAAUCCAAACGCCCCUAAUACUU
rnacentral:lncRNA from 1 species